rnacentral:rRNA from 1 species
UUUAAUUGAAGAGUUUGAUCAUGGCUCAGAUUGAACGCUGGCGGCAGGCCUAACACAUGCAAGUCGAACGGUAACAGGGAGCAGCUUGCUGCUCUGCUGACGAGUGGCGGACGGGUGAGUAAUGUCUGGG